UUUGUUUUUCUUUUGAGUCUUCUUAGCAAAAUUAACUUAAAUAAUUCAAUCCUUUCUUAGCCACCCUGGACAUCCUUUAAGAUACACAAUAGAGCAUAGAGAACUUUUCUACAUGUGCUUUAAAGCUCAGAUUACACAAAACUAAUUUUGAGAAAACUGCAGACCAGUGCGGCUGUGCUGAUAUUAGACCUUAGAAGUGGCAUGGCCGCACCAGUUCGAAAGCUUCUCUG
rnacentral:lncRNA from 1 species